rnacentral:rRNA from 1 species
CACGCCCUAAACGAUGUCGACUAGGUGUUCGGUGAGGAGACUCAUUGAGUACCGCAGCUAACGCGUGAAGUCGACCGCCUGGGGAGUACGGUCGCAAGAUUAAAACUCAAAGGAAUUGACGGGGACCCGCACAAGCGGUGGAUGAUGUGGAUUAAUUCGAUGCAACGCGAAAAACCUUACCUACCCUUGACAUGUACGGAACCCUGCUGAGAGGUAGGGGUGCUCGAAAGAGAGCCGUAACACAGGUGC